rnacentral:lncRNA from 1 species
UGGAAAUGCAAAUCCACACUAACCAACACGGAGCUGUUGGUCCUGCACAACAGAGUGAGCCUGCGAGCUUCCUCACCUUGUACCUGCUCGUGAUGAGCCACCUGGGUUCAGCAGCUCCCACCCAGAAUUCCCAGGGAGAGGCUUCCAGUCACUAGCCUUCCCUCUCCUGGGCAACAGGAGCUGGAGAGAUGGCGCUGCAGUUAAGAGCACUUGUUGCUUUUGCAGAAGACUUGGGUUCAGUUCCACAGUACCCAUGUGCUGAUUCAAGCUACACAUAGAUGUAUAACUCCAAUUUUAGGGGAUCCAACACCUGCCCUGAACUCUACAGGCACCAGGCAUGCUCACCAUGUGCACACAUACAUACAUGCAGACAGAACACUCAUAAGCAGGAAACAAAUCUCUCUUUUUUUUUUUAAAUGAAAACUAGCUUCUCUUGGUUUCCUAGAGGAGGGUGAAUUGAGAUCAAGAAAGUUAUCAUCUGUACUUCACGAAAGUUGACCAAGGCAGGAAUGGAGGUGCACACCAGGAUUACAUGGGAGACAGAGAGGUAGGAGGAGCACAGUAAACUGGAGGCCAGCCUAGUCUACAUAUGAAUUCAGGUCAGCCAUGGCUACAUAGUGAGACCCUGCC